rnacentral:rRNA from 1 species
GAUGAACGCUGGCGGCGUGCCUAAUACAUGCAAGUCGAGCGAACGGACGAGAAGCUUGCUUCUCUGAUGUUAGCGGCGGACGGGUGAGUAACACGUGGAUAACCUACCUAUAAGACUGGGAUAACUUCGGGAAACCGGAGCUAAUACCGGAUAAUAUUUUGAACCGCAUGGUUCAAAAGUGAAAGACGGUCUUGCUGUCACUUAUAGAUGGAUCCGCGCUGCAUUAGCUAGUUGGUAAGGUAACGGCUUACCAAGGCAACGAUGCAUAGCCGACCUGAGAGGGUGAUCGGCCACACUGGAACUGAGACACGGUCCAGACUCCUACGGGAGGCAGCAGUAGGGAAUCUUCCGCAAUGGGCGAAAGCCUGACGGAGCAACGCCGCGUGAGUGAUGAAGGUCUUCGGAUCGUAAAACUCUGUUAUUAGGGAAGAACAUAUGUGUAAGUAACUGUGCACAUCUUGACGGUACCUAAUCAGAAAGCCACGGCUAACUACGUGCCAGCAGCCGCGGUAAUACGUAGGUGGCAAGCGUUAUCCGGAAAUUAUGGGCGUAAAGCGCGCGUANGCGGUUUUUUAAGUCUGAUGUGAAAGCCCACGGCUCAACCGUGGAGGGUCAUUGGAAACUGGAAAACUUGAGUGCAGAAGAGGAAAGUGGAAUUCCAUGUGUAGCGGUGAAAUGCGCAGAGAUAUGGAGGAACACCAGUGGCGAAGGCGACUUUCUGGUCUGUAACUGACGCUGAUGUGCGAAAGCGUGGGGAUCAAACAGGAUUAGAUACCCUGGUAGUCCACGCCGUAAACGAUGAGUGCUAAGUGUUAGGGGGUUUCCGCCCCUUAGUGCUGCAGCUAACGCAUUAAGCACUCCGCCUGGGGAGUACGACCGCAAGGUUGAAACUCAAAGGAAUUGACGGGGACCCGCACAAGCGGUGGAGCAUGUGGUUUAAUUCGAAGCAACGCGAAGAACCUUACCAAAUCUUGACAUCCUUUGACAACUCUAGAGAUAGAGCCUUCCCCUUCGGGGGACAAAGUGACAGGUGGUGCAUGGUUGUCGUCAGCUCGUGUCGUGAGAUGUUGGGUUAAGUCCCGCAACGAGCGCAACCCUUAAGCUUAGUUGCCAUCAUUAAGUUGGGCACUCUAAGUUGACUGCCGGUGACAAACCGGAGGAAGGCGGGGAUGACGUCAAAUCAUCAUGCCCCUUAUGAUUUGGGCUACACACGUGCUACAAUGGACAAUACAAAGGGCAGCGAAACCGCGAGGUCAAGCAAAUCCCAUAAAGUUGUUCUCAGUUCGGAUUGUAGUCUGCAACUCGACUACAUGAAGCUGGAAUCGCUAGUAAUCGUAGAUCAGCAUGCUACGGUGAAUACGUUCCCGGGUCU